rnacentral:rRNA from 1 species
AUACGUAGGGUGCAAGCGUUAAUCGGAAUUACUGGGCGUAAAGCGUGCGCAGGCGGUUUUGUAAGGCAGUGGUGAAAUCCCCGGGCUCAACCUGGGAACUGCCAUUGUGACUGCAAGGCUGGAGUGCGGCAGAGGGGGAUGGAAUUCCGCGUGUAGCAGUGAAAUGCGUAGAUAUGCGGAGGAACACCGAUGGCGAAGGCAAUCCCCUGGGCCUGCACUGACGCGCAUGCACGAAAGCGUGGGGAGCAAACAGGAUUAGAUACCCUGGUAGUCCACUCCCUAAACGAUGUCAACUGGUUGUUGGGGAUUUAUUUUCUCAGUAACGAAGCUAACGCGUGAAGUUGACCGCCUGGGGAGUACGGCCGCAAGGUUAAAACUCAAAGGAAUUGACGGGG